rnacentral:rRNA from 1 species
UAGGGAAUCUUCGGCAAUGGACGAAACUCUGACCGAGCAACGCCGCGUGAGUGAAGAAGGUCUUCGGAUCGUAAAACUCUGUUGUUUGAGAAGAACAAGGACGUUAGUAACUGAACGUCCACUGACGGUAUCUAACCAGAAAGCCACGGCUAACUACGUGCCAGCAGCCGCGGUAAUACGUAGGUGGCAAGCGUUGUCCGGAUUUAUUGGGCGUAAAGCGAGCGCAGGCGGUUUCUUAAGUCUGAUGUGAAAGCCCCCGGCUCAACCGGGGAGGGUCAGUGGAAACUGGGAGACUUGAGUGCAGAAGAGGGGAGUGGAAUUCCAUGUGUAGCGGUGAAAUGCGUAGAUAUAUGGAGGAACACCAGUGGCGAAGGCGGCUCUCUGGUCUGUAACUGACGCUGAGGCUCGAAAGCGUGGGGAGCAAACAGG